CACGGGGGGGAGCAAGCGUUGUUCGGAAUCACUGGGCGUAAAGGGCGUGUAGGCGGUCAGGUAAGUGAGAUGUGAAAUGCCCCGGCUCACCCGGGGACCGGCAUCUCAUACUGCUUGGCUUGAGUACGGGAGAGGAUGUGGGAAUUCCUGGUGUAGCGGUGAAAUGCGUAGAUAUCAGGAGGAACACCGGUGGCGAAGGCGCACAUCUGGCCCGAUACUGACGCUGAGGCGCGAAAGCUAGGGGAGCAAACGGG
rnacentral:rRNA from 1 species